rnacentral:lncRNA from 1 species
GCGACCUCGUACACGCGUACCCUAUUUUUUUAUCAUAUUCUCUCUUUUUUUUGUCUGUAUGUAUUUGUUUUUUGUUCUUAUUUACGCACCCUGCUACGCAUUAUGAUGAAUCUAGUAACGAUUCGAACGAGAUAAACAAACAUCAUCCAUCAGACAAAAGUACAUACGGUGCUUUUUUGAGAGGGAGAGAAGUAGUGUUGGUAACUUUAGGCCUUAUUUAGUUCACUUAAAAACUCAAAAGUCUUUUUAGAUUCUUCGUCACAUCGAAUUGUACGGUACAUAUGCAUAGAAUAUUAAAUACAGAUAGAAAAAUAACUAAUUAUACAGUUUGUCUAUAAUUUGCGAGACGAAUCUUUUGAACCUAAUUAGUCUACAAUAAUUGCUAAAUAAAAAUAAAAAUAAAACAGUAUCCAAAAACUUUUCAUCUUCUCAAAGUAAUCUACAUUAGAGCAAGUAUUAUAGUGGGCUGUAAGCUGGCUAAAUGCUGAGGUGGAGGAGAGAAGGGAGG